ACAGAACCUCACCAAGCUCUUCUGCUGCCAUUAAAGGCUGGCUGUGCCCGGGCUCCCCGCUGGAGCCUGCACCCCACACAGGUCCUGUGCAGAAUGAUCAAAGGCGGAACAAGAUGGCCCUCUGCCUGCUCCAGCAGUGGGAGGGAGCGGGGUACUGCCCCAUCACUGCGUGUGGACAUUCCCCAGUCACCUCCCUGACACACUGCGGGCAGGAGAGAAAGCUCCGGCUCUUCCUGGGGUCUCCACAAUGCACUGUUGGACUGGCCUUUUAUGGCUAGGCAGUGGUGAAAGCCCAGCCUCUACAUUGGGCCUCCUCGGAUUCACCCUAGAAAGGAAAGGGAGAGCACCCUUCCAGGUGGGGAUGGAAGUCCCCACGUGGUCACACUGAUGCCAAAGGAAAAGAGGACUUUAUUCCUCGCUGGUCUGGGUGACAGCCUCGGAUCUCUACCUGGCCUCCUCCCACACCACCUGGCAGGGGCUGGAGCCCCCUCCGUGAUCUUUUGAGGCAUUGCUCUCCAAGGCAGCUCGGUGUCCUCUUGUCUGCAGUCACAUGGAGGCUGGAGUUCUCCCAGGUCAGUCUUGAGCUGGGCCAGUGACUGACGCCCACCGUACAUUCAAAGGAACCGUGGCCCUCUCCUUCUGCUGGUGUGUGUGAGGGCUAGGGAGACUCAAUCUAAAGCAGACUUCAUUCUAAGUGUGCAGGAAAUGAGGCCCAAAGACUCAAGAGAGAGCACAGUAGGGAGGGGAAUGUUCUAGGCGUGCAGAGAAUAAAAAGCUACCACAAGAACCCA